AUUGAACGCUGGCGGCAGGCCUAACACAUGCAAGUCGAGCGGAUGAAGGGAGCUUGCUCCUGGAUUCAGCUGCGGACGGGUGAGUAAUGCCUAGGAAUCUGCCUGGUAGUGGGGGAUAACGUCCGGUAACGGGCGCUAAUACCGCAUACGUCCUGAUGGAGAAAGUGGUGGAUCUUCGGUCCUCACGCUAUCAGAUGACCCUAGGUCGGAUUAGCUAGUUGGUGGGGUAAAGGCCUACCAAGGCGACGAUCCGUAACUGGUCUGAGAGGAUGAUCAGUCACACUGGAACUGAGACACGGUCCAGACUCCUACGGGAGGCAGCAGUGGGGAAUAUUGGGCAAUGGGCGAAAGCCUGAUCCAGCCAUGCCGCGUGUGUGAAGAAGGUCUUCGGAUUGUAAAGCACUUUAAGUUGGGAGGAAGGGCAGUAAGUUAAUACCUUGAUGUUUUGACGUUACCAACAGAAUAAGCACCGGCUAACUUCGUG
rnacentral:rRNA from 1 species